rnacentral:SRP_RNA from 1 species
AGGAGGAGCCGGGCGGCGAGGCAACUGUGAACCCCGUCAGGCCCGAAAGGGAGCAGCGGUAACAGCGCGUCUCGGGUGUCCGGCUCCUAGAUGA